AUUGAACGCUGGCGGCAGGCCUAACACAUGCAAGUCGAACGAGUGGCGGACGGGUGAGUAAUGUCUGGGAAACUGCCUGAUGGAGGGGGCUAACUACUGGAAACGGUAGCUAAUACCGCAUACCAUCAGCUGUGCCCAGUUGGGAUUGGCUUGUGGGUGGGGUAACGGUUCACCAAGGCGACGAUCCCUAGCUGGUCUGAGAGGAUGACCAGCCACACUGGAACUGGGACAUGGUCCAGAAUCCUACGGGAGGCAGCAGUGGGGAAUAUUGCACAAUGGGCGAAAGCCUGAUGCAGCCAUGCCGCGUGUAUGAAGAAGGCUUUCGGGUUGUAAAGUACUGUCAGCGGGGAGGCGGUACUCGCAGAAGAAGCACCGGCUAACUCCGUGCCAGCAGCCGCGGUAAUAC
rnacentral:rRNA from 1 species